UAAAAGUAUCGAUGACAAUAUAGUAAUAACAUCAAACAGUAAUUCAAAGGGGUUAUUAAGGAAAAACUAGCAAAUUUAUAAAAAAGGAGGGCACAAGUCCAAAAGCCACAAUUUACCGAAAGGUGGUCAAGUUUCAUUAGAUUUAUUUAAUGUUGACAAAGAAUGUAGGCGAUCCUAAGGGAAACCUUUAUAUUUAAACUUCCCGAAGUAAAACAUUUCAUUAGGGAAAGGAAAGGAAAUCAACCGAGACUCCGAAAGUAAUGGCGAGUGAAAUCGGACCAGCCUUUAUUUUUAAAAAUAAAUUUAACAAAAAUACACACCAGAAACCAAAGAAGGUAAAAUAGUCCUGUAUGUUAAAUCUUUUUAAAUUAAUGUUUAAAAAAAUAUUAUUAAAUUAAAAUUUAUUUAAAUAAUGAGUACGACGAGAGUGAACUUGUCGGAAUAUAGGGGAACCAUCCUCUAAGGCUAAGUAUUUAUAAAUUUAGCGAUAGUGAAAAGUACCGUGAGGGAAAGUUUGAAAUAGUUAUGUAAUAUUAGACAUAAAUGAAAUAGUUGAAUUAGUAACUCUAUAAGCAGUCGAAAUUUAUAAUAAUAAAUGACGGCGUACCUUUUGCAUAAUGGGUCAGCAAGUUAAUAGGAGUAGCAAGGUUAAAAGCCUUAGUGAAAGCGACCACACUAACUAGCUAAAAGUAUUUUUAAUUUCAUAGAUAUUAAAAAUAGGGUAUCCUUCAUAGUCAUAAGGCUAAGAAGUUAAAUAUUUUCUAGGAGUAUAGUGAUGGGUAAGUUACUUCUAUUAGACCCGAAGCUAGGUGAUCUUCCUAAGACCAGAUUAUAAUGGAUCGAACGGGUGAAUGUAGCAAAAUUCUCCGAAGAGUUUUAGGAAGCGGUGAAAUGCCAAUCUGACCUAGUGAUAGCUGGUUUUCUACGAAACAUAUGUAAGUAUGACAUCUAAACAAAAUUUAUGGUGGUACAGCACUGAGUUCCCAACUAUUUCUUUUAAAAAGAAAAGUUUAGGUUGCGGGGACGUCGAAAAUCUUACCAAUGGAAGAGAAUCUCGGAAUGACAUAAAUUGAUGUUAGAUAUUCAGACUGCUCAUGCGAAGUUGGGUAGUCAAGACGGAAACAGCCGAGAACACGAAACAAGGUCCCAAAUGAUUUUUAAGUGAAAUGAAGGAAGUAAUAUAUUGAAUGCAGCUGUAAAGUGAGCCUGGUAGUCGCUAUCUUUUAAUAAACGUAAUGUAACAACGUAGCAGCCUUAAUACAAUAGAAUAUUACGCCAAAAAUUUAACGGGUCUCAAAAAAUCAACCGAUAUCGUGUUUAUUUUGAAUAAUAAAAAUUUAAUAUUCAAUAUACAGGUAGUAGAACAUUCAGUAUACUGAUGAUAAAACAGUGUUUCAUUGUUUUUAGGUCACUGAAGAGAGAAUGCUGACAUGAGUAACGUAAAAAGAAGUUAUAAUACUUCUCGCCGAAUACGAAAGGGUUGUAAGGAAAGGUUAAACCACCUUAUGUUAAUGCGGCCUCUAAGGAACAAAACCAAAGUUUUGUCUGAUGAGUAUGAAUUAGAAAGUCCAAUUUUAAAUUAAUUUAUAAAAAGGACCAGGAAAAUAAUAUGUUCAUAACUACCGUACCCUAAACCGACACAGGUUCGUAAGUAGAGUAUACUAAGGCGUAGAGCUAAAAGUUGUUAAGGAACUCGGCAAGUUCUCCUCAUAAGUUUGACGAUAAGAGGAACCCUUUAAAGGGUGGCACAAAAUCGGAGGCCCCGACUGUUUACUAAAAACACAAUUCAGAGCAAUGAUGAAAAAUCAUAGUAUUCUGGAUGAAAUUUGCCCAAUGCCAUUAACAUAAAAGAGGUUAUGGGUAACUGUAACUGAUUGAAAGUCUGGUUAAUAGCGGUCUUAACUAUGAGGAUCCAAAGGUAGCAAAAUAAAUUGGCCAUUAAAUGUGGUCUGGUAUCAAUAGUGUAACGAUGGUCUCACUGUCUCUACAACUUGCUCAGUGAAAUUGAAUUACCCGUGCAGAUGCGGGUUGCCUCCAGGUGGACGGGAAAGACCCUAUGCAGCUUUACUGUAGUUAGCUAUCAUAUUGAUCUACAACAACCUUAGUUAAUAGUAAUUAGGGAUGUCGAUGGACGGAAGAUGGAAUACCUUAUGACUUUGGUUGGGUUAAUAUUUACCUUUUUAAGUCAUGUAUCAUAUAUGACUCAAAUUUUUCUUUUGUUUAUUAUAUUCGUAUUCUGUUAUAUAGUGUUAUAUGGUAUGGAGCUUAUAAGGGAUAGGUGGCUAAUUGGCAGUUUGACUGGGGCGGUCGUCUUUGAUAAAGUAGCAAAGUACAUCCAAAGAUAUUUAUUUAUUAUAAGCAAUCUUUUUUUAAAGAUACUAACUAAAAAUCAUAGUAUCUGUAUAAACUAUGGAGAGUAUAAAUUAUUAUAUUUUUAUUAACUUAAGGUAUAGCUAGAAAAUUGAAUGGAAAUCAAUCAACCAAUGUGAAAGGUUGUAAUCGGCGUAAUGGCGGAAAGCAUGCCUAACUGAAAGACUUAGAAGUCGACCAGAUACGUAAGUAGGGCAUAGUGACCCUUCGCUAUAUUAUGGAAUAGACGGGGAUCAAUCGAUAAAAGUUACGCUAGGGAUAACAGGCUGAUAGCUGGUGAGAGUACACAUUGUCCCGGCUGUUUGGCACCUCGAUGUCGACUCAACCUAUCCUCCGGGGGUAGAAGCUUGGAAGGGUUCGGCUGUUCGCCGAUUAAAAGGUUACGCGAGUUGGGUUUAAUACGACGUGAGUCAGUAUGGUCCCUAUCUUCUGGAGGGAUAAAUAGUAAAAGGGGGCAGACCUUCUAGUACGAAAGGAUCAAUAGGCUGUGUUUCUCUAGUGUACCAAUUGU
rnacentral:rRNA from 1 species